rnacentral:rRNA from 1 species
AUUGAACGCUGGCGGCAUGCCUUACACAUGCAAGUCGAACGGUAACAGGUUAAGCUGACGAGUGGCGAACGGGUGAGUCAUGUAUCGGAACGUGCCCAGUCGUGGGGGAUAACUGCUCGAAAGAGCAGCUAAUACCGCAUACGACCUGAGGGUGAAAGCGGGGGAUCGCAAGACCUCGCGCGAUUGGAGCGGCCGAUAUCAGAUUAGGUAGUUGGUGAGGUAAAGGCUCACCAAGCCGACGAUCUGUAGCUGGUCUGAGAGGACGACCAGCCACACUGGGACUGAGACACGGCCCAGACUCCUACGGGAGGCAGCAGUGGGGAAUUUUGGACAAUGGGCGCAAGCCUGAUCCAGCCAUGCCGCGUGCGGGAAGAAGGCCUUCGGGUUGUAAAACGCUUUUGUCAGGGAAGAAAAGGUUCUGGCUAAUACCUGGGACUCAUGACGGUACCUGAAGAAUAAGCACCGGCUAACUACGUG